CAUAGGUUAAUGAGGCGAACCGGGGGAACUGAAACAUCUAAGUACCCCGAGGAAAAGAAAUCAACCGAGAUUCCCCCAGUAGCGGCGAGCGAACGGGGAGCAGCCCAGAGCCUGAAUCAGUGUGUGUGUUAGUGGAAGCGUCUGGAAAGGCGCGCGAUACAGGGUGACAGCCCCGUACACAAAAAUGCACAUGCUGUGAGCUCGAUGAGUAGGGCGGGACACGUGGUAUCCUGUCUGAAUAUGGGGGGACCAUCCUCCAAGGCUAAAUACUCCUGACUGACCGAUAGUGAACCAGUACCGUGAGGGAAAGGCGAAAAGAACCCCGGCGAGGGGAGUGAAAAAGAACCUGAAACCGUGUACGUACAAGCAGUGGGAGCCUCUUUAUGGGGUGACUGCGUACCUUUUGUAUAAUGGGUCAGCGACUUAUAUUCUGUAGCAAGGUUAACCGAAUAGGGGAGCCGAAGGGAAACCGAGUCUUAACUGGGCGUUAAGUUGCAGGGUAUAGACCCGAAACCCGGUGAUCUAGCCAUGGGCAGGUUGAAGGUUGGGUAACACUAACUGGAGGACCGAACCGACUAAUGUUGAAAAAUUAGCGGAUGACUUGUGGCUGGGGGUGAAAGGCCAAUCAAACCGGGAGAUAGCUGGUUCUCCCCGAAAGCUAUUUAGGUAGCGCCUCGUGAAUUCAUCUCCGGGGGUAGAGCACUGUUUCGGCAAGGGGGUCAUCCCGACUUACCAACCCGAUGCAAACUGCGAAUACCGGAGAAUGUUAUCACGGGAGACACACGGCGGGUGCUAACGUCCGUCGUGAAGAGGGAAACAACCCAGACCGCCAGCUAAGGUCCCAAAGUCAUGGUUAAGUGGGAAACGAUGUGGGAAGGCCCAGACAGCCAGGAUGUUGGCUUAGAAGCAGCCAUCAUUUAAAGAAAGCGUAAUAGCUCACUGGUCGAGUCGGCCUGCGCGGAAGAUGUAACGGGGCUAAACCAUGCACCGAAGCUGCGGCAGCGACGCUUAUGCGUUGUUGGGUAGGGGAGCGUUCUGUAAGCCUGUGAAGGUGUGCUGUGAGGCAUGCUGGAGGUAUCAGAAGUGCGAAUGCUGACAUAAGUAACGAUAAAGCGGGUGAAAAGCCCGCUCGCCGGAAGACCAAGGGUUCCUGUCCAACGUUAAUCGGGGCAGGGUGAGUCGACCCCUAAGGCGAGGCCGAAAGGCGUAGUCGAUGGGAAACAGGUUAAUAUUCCUGUACUUGGUGUUACUGCGAAGGGGGGACGGAGAAGGCUAUGUUGGCCGGGCGACGGUUGUCCCGGUUUAAGCGUGUAGGCUGGUUUUCCAGGCAAAUCCGGAAAAUCAAGGCUGAGGCGUGAUGACGAGGCACUACGGUGCUGAAGCAACAAAUGCCCUGCUUCCAGGAAAAGCCUCUAAGCAUCAGGUAACAUCAAAUCGUACCCCAAACCGACACAGGUGGUCAGGUAGAGAAUACCAAGGCGCUUGAGAGAACUCGGGUGAAGGAACUAGGCAAAAUGGUGCCGUAACUUCGGGAGAAGGCACGCUGAUAUGUAGGUGAGGUCCCUCGCGGAUGGAGCUGAAAUCAGUCGAAGAUACCAGCUGGCUGCAACUGUUUAUUAAAAACACAGCACUGUGCAAACACGAAAGUGGACGUAUACGGUGUGACGCCUGCCCGGUGCCGGAAGGUUAAUUGAUGGGGUUAGCGGUAACGCGAAGCUCUUGAUCGAAGCCCCGGUAAACGGCGGCCGUAACUAUAACGGUCCUAAGGUAGCGAAAUUCCUUGUCGGGUAAGUUCCGACCUGCACGAAUGGCGUAAUGAUGGCCAGGCUGUCUCCACCCGAGACUCAGUGAAAUUGAACUCGCUGUGAAGAUGCAGUGUACCCGCGGCAAGACGGAAAGACCCCGUGAACCUUUACUAUAGCUUGACACUGAACAUUGAGCCUUGAUGUGUAGGAUAGGUGGGAGGCUUUGAAGUGUGGACGCCAGUCUGCAUGGAGCCGACCUUGAAAUACCACCCUUUAAUGUUUGAUGUUCUAACGUUGACCCGUAAUCCGGGUUGCGGACAGUGUCUGGUGGGUAGUUUGACUGGGGCGGUCUCCUCCUAAAGAGUAACGGAGGAGCACGAAGGUUGGCUAAUCCUGGUCGGACAUCAGGAGGUUAGUGCAAUGGCAUAAGCCAGCUUGACUGCGAGCGUGACGGCGCGAGCAGGUGCGAAAGCAGGUCAUAGUGAUCCGGUGGUUCUGAAUGGAAGGGCCAUCGCUCAACGGAUAAAAGGUACUCCGGGGAUAACAGGCUGAUACCGCCCAAGAGUUCAUAUCGACGGCGGUGUUUGGCACCUCGAUGUCGGCUCAUCACAUCCUGGGGCUGAAGUAGGUCCCAAGGGUAUGGCUGUUCGCCAUUUAAAGUGGUACGCGAGCUGGGUUUAGAACGUCGUGAGACAGUUCGGUCCCUAUCUGCCGUGGGCGCUGGAGAACUGAGGGGGGCUGCUCCUAGUACGAGAGGACCGGAGUGGACGCAUCACUGGUGUUCGGGUUGUCAUGCCAAUGGCACUGCCCGGUAGCUAAAUGCGGAAGAGAUAAGUGCUGAAAGCAUCUAAGCACGAAACUUGCCCCGAGAUGAGUUCUCCCUGACUCCUUGAGAGUCCUGAAGGAACGUUGAAGACGACGACGUUGA
rnacentral:rRNA from 1 species